AGUGAACGCUGGCGGUAGGCCUAACACAUGCAAGUCGAACGGCAGCACAGGCGAGCUUGCUCUCUGGGUGGCGAGUGGCGGACGGGUGAGGAAUACAUCGGAAUCUACUCUGUCGUGGGGGAUAACGUAGGGAAACUUACGCUAAUACCGCAUACGACCUACGGGUGAAAGCAGGGGACCUUCGGGCCUUGCGCGAUUGACUGAGCCGAUGUCGGAUUAGCUAGUUGGCGGGGUAAAGGCCCACCAAGGCGACGAUCCGUAGCUGGUCUGAGAGGAUGACCAGCCACAAUGGAGCUGAGUCACGGUCCGGAGUCCUACGGGAGGAAGCAGUGGGGGAUAGUGGACAAUAGGCGCAAGACUGAUCCAGCCAUACCGCGUGGGUGAAGAAGGCCUUCGGGUUGUACAGCCCUUUUGUUGGGAAAGAAAUCCAGCUGGCUAAUACCCGGUUGGGAUGACGGUACCCAAAGAAUAAGCACCGGCUAACUUCGUGCCAGCCGCCGCCGUAA
rnacentral:rRNA from 1 species